rnacentral:lncRNA from 1 species
CAAUCACCGCCUUCUUUUAAGGUACCAUCAUCUUCUCCUGCUUUGAUGCCUACAAAAAUAGGCUCUGAAACUCUGCCUUCCCCACUCACACCCUGGCCUUUCUGCAACGCUUAGUCCUUGCUGCAGUCAGUUCAGAAUGUUACUUUAUGACCCGAGCUUGGCUGGCCAGACUGUGACAUCACCUGACCAGUGUGACUGGUUCAGGGAUGGGCUGGAAGCUAAGCUAGGAGAUAAUUAUAACUCCAUCCAUUAAGCACUUACUAUGUGCCAGACACGUAACAUCCAGCACUUCAAUUGGCUCUCCAAGCAGCCUUGUGGGGUCAGCACUCUUCUUGCUAGAGGGGCUAAAUGACCUGUCGAAGGAACCUGAUAAGGUCACUGUCUGAACCCGACUCCAGGACUCCAAGUAGAGACUUAAGUGUGAGAGUAGACAUCAAGUGUUCUCUGGGUGUUUUCUUCAAGGAGAUUAUCCAUUUUAAGUGUGUAUCUUCCAAUGAGGCUGGCAAUAUGGUGUGACAGAGGUCAACCUGGAAAGAGAAGAAAUUGGUUUCCCCCAGAGUGCACCAGGGUACUUCCUGAGUUGGUGACACCCCUCCAUGUGGAAAGAAGAGCAAACCAAAUGACAGAGACAGAGUGAGGCAGUGUUGCCAUCCAGAACAGAAGGAGAGGUCCCCUCCUUUCUCCAUUUGUGCCCAACAACUGUGUCUGAGGACUAACAGGUGUCAGACACAUUGGAGGCUCCGGAGAUACAGCUGUGACAAGGCGGACACAGGGCCCCAUGCCUUCAGACUCACAUUCUGUAGGGACAGGACGCCAAGAAACAGUCUCACACAGAAACCACAAAGAUUGGCAGCCACCACCAGAAGUCAGCAAGAGGCAAGGAGAUACUUGCUGGAGUUUGAGAGAAGAAUAUGGCCCAGCUGAUACCUUGACUUGAGGCUUCUGACCUCCAGAAAUGGGAGCGAACGUUUCUGUUGUUUUCAGGCACCCGUGUUUGUAACAGCCA